rnacentral:rRNA from 1 species
AGUGAACGCUGGCGGUAGGCCUAACACAUGCAAGUCGAACGGCAGCACAGUAAGAGCUUGCUCUUACGGGUGGCGAGUGGCGGACGGGUGAGGAAUACAUCGGAAUCUACUUUUUCGUGGGGGUUAACGUAGGGAAACUUACGCUAAUACCGCAUACGACCUACGGGUGAAAGCAGGGGAUCUUCUGACCUUGUGCGAUUGAACGAGCCGAUGUGGGAUUAGUUAGUUGGCGGGUUAAUGACCCACCAAGGCGACGAUCCGUAGCUGGUCUGAGAGGAUGGUCAGCCACACUGGAGCUGAGACACGGUCCAGACUCCUACGAGAGGCAGCAGUGUGGAAUAUUGGACAAUGGGCGCAAGCCUGAUCCAGCCAGACCGCGUGGGUGAAGAAGGCCUUCGGGUUGUAAAGACCUUUUGCUGGGAAAGAAAAGCAGCAGGUUAAUACCCCGCUGUUCUGACGGUACCCAAAGAAUAAGCACCGGCUAACUUCGUG